UGGGGGAUAUUGCACAAUGGGCGAAAGCCUGAUGCAGCGACGCCGCGUGGGGGAUGAAGGCUUUCGGGUUGUAAACCUCUUUCGCUAUCGAACAAGGCCCGCUUAGGGUGGGUUGAGGGUAGGUGGAGAAGAAGCGCCGGCUAACUACGUGCCAGCAGCCGCGGUAAUACGUAGGGCGCGAGCGUUGUCCGGAAUAUUGGGCGUAAAGGGCUUGUAGGCGGCUUGUUGCGCCUGCUGUGAAAACGCGGGGCUUAACUUCGCGCGUGCAGUGGGUACGGGCAGGCUUGAGUGUGGUAGGGGUGACUGGAAUUCCAGGUGUAGCGGUGGAAUGCGCAGAUAUCUGGAGGAACACCGAUGGCGAAGGCAGGUCACUGGGCCAUUACUGACGCUGAGGAGCGAAAGCAUGGGUAGCGAACAGG
rnacentral:rRNA from 1 species